rnacentral:piRNA from 1 species
UUCUGGCAAAAAAAAAACUGU